GAUGAACGCUGGCGGCGUGCCUAAUACAUGCAAGUCGAGCGAAUGGAUUAAGAGCUUGCUCUUAUGAAGUUAGCGGCGGACGGGUGAGUAACACGUGGGUAACCUGCCCAUAAAACUGGGAUAACUCCGGGAAACCGGGGCUAAUACCGGAUAAUAUUUUGAACUGCAUGGUUCAAAAUUGAAAGGCGGCUUCGGCUGUCACUUAUGGAUGGACCCGCGUCGCAUUAGCUAGUUGGUGAGGUAACGGCUCACCAAGGCAACGAUGCGUAGCCGACCGGAGAGGUUGGACGGGCACACUGGGACGGAGACACGGCCCAGACUCCUACGGGAGGCAGCAGUAGGGAAGCUUCCGCAAUGGACGAAAGUCUGACGGAGCAACGCCGCGUGAGUGAUGAAGGCUCUCGGGUCGUAAAACUCUGUUGUUAGGGAAGAACAAGUGCUAGUUGAAUAAGCUGGCACCUUGACGGUACCUAACCAGAAAGCCACGGCUAACUACGUGCCAGCCGCCGCCGUAA
rnacentral:rRNA from 1 species